GAGAUAUACCGUCAGAUCAAGUUAGUCGCGAUAAGCCCUGUCGGUAAAAAGUUUUACCGACAGACUACCCUUUCAACGACAGACAGUCUGACGGAGAGAAAAUCACCGACAGACAGUCCGAUGGAGAGAAAAUCACCGACAGACAGUGUGUUACCAGUUAUGCCGACACACCGUGCGAUGUUAUAAUUAUAUUUACCGACAGAUUGUCCAACAGAAAGUUUAAAACUAAAUAAAAAAAUAAAAUGCAGCGUAGGAGAAUCAUAACAUACUAAAUAUGCAUUUGACUAAUCAAAGAUCCAUCAUAUCACGUUCAUCUCCAUAAAUUUAGUCCCCAAAUACAUGGAUCUCCAUAUGACAUGAAUAUAGUUGUCUUGGACAAUUGCACCAAGUCAUAAAUUAAGCACAAGUACAUACAUGGCAGCAUAUCCAAUUUACACCAAGUCAUAAAACAUAAAUGGGAGCUAUACUAGAUUGUUUGCAGUAAACAAUCACUUUGAUAGACAUAGCAACCAAAAAGAGAUGUAUGGACCCAACAACAGGUUCUUGCCCUCCCAACGAGUAAAGUCCACAAGUUGUUCCAAAAGCUCAUAAAACAAAAGAAAUACUUGGAUCCAAAUGCAGUAGUUGCGCAAAAUUUGGCAUCCCAUUCAUUUGUAAGCAGCUAGUGGCGCCCAAUGCUACC
rnacentral:lncRNA from 1 species